CCUCUUGUUUCAGGAGUGUUUCCAACUCUGAGUUGUCGAAUAGGUCCGUAUUUCCCAAAAAUAUCAUACAUUUCCUCCGCUGUGAUUUCAUACGGCAGGUUCCGAAUAUAAAGGACCCGAUUGACCUCUGGGGGCAGCCAGAUGUCAGCUCGCUUGGCCGCUUGCAUCGCCAUGGCGCCGAUCGGAGGGGGGGGGGGGGGGGGGGGUGUGUGUGCCGCCUCGGAGAGAAACCGCGGCCGGGAAGGGGCCUGCCGGGCCGCACGCCGCCGCUCGCCGCUGCCGCGGGGGUCCCGGACGCUAUCCCAUACGCUAAUAACCCGGACUAAACAAAUUCCACCAUGCUGAAUAUUCAAGAUCUCAGUGGCUAUUUACAAAGUGCUCAUAUAUCAGGGCACAGGAGACCUGAAUGACUGUCUAAGCUCCUUGUGCACUACUUUGGGAGCCAAAGGCUACCAUUUUGGCUGCCCUUAACAGUGAAAAGCAGAAAUGUCUGAAGAACAGGGGCAGCUUUUCAGGACAGCAGGAUAAGCAUGAGCGGCUAUGAGUGCACAAGGUGGGCCAGUGAAACCUGAUGGCCCUGCUGCUUGGCAGGGUAGAGGACAGAGCCCUGGGAUGUGACAGCUCCAGCUGAGACUUUCUACGAGAGGCAGAAAGCAGCCAGCAUCCCUGAAGUUGCUUUACCAUGAUGAGGGAACUUUAACUGGUUGUUGUAAUUUGUGAAAGCGAUGGGUAGAUCACCUGCGCUCACAGCCCGAUGGAAAUGGGUGAAAUGAAACUAUGAGUAGCCCAUCCUUCAGUCUCCUGCUUCAGGGAGAUUUUGACAUCAUUCAGUCUCAAGGUGUUGAUAUACAAGUAAACGUGCUCAAAGACUGAAGGCAGAUAAAACUGAGCACCAAAAUUUAGUAUCAAAUAAAUCCUCUUCCGAUCCAGCAUAUGACAUAGGUGAACAGGAAUCACAAAGACAAAGUUUAAGAGGCUGUUUCCUUCUGUUUCAUAUUGGACUUUGCAGCUGGCAGUUGUAAAGGAAAAAUUGCUGUGAUCCAUUGCACAUAUACAAUGUUUUCUUCACAGUGGCAAGCCAGUGAUUUAUGAGACACCAAGCAAAAAUCUAGUGGUCGUGCUGGGGAGAAACAAUGUGGUCUGGAAACAAGCUUCAGUGCCUUGCAGGUUUUAAGGAAAAUAAGUCUAGUUGAAAGCUGCUUCAGGAAUUCAUUCCCAAGGAUGCUUUUGAGUGGCACUGUGGUGGAUAAGGAAACAGUAGACAGCAAUACCUAGCAGGAACCAAGAAUCUGAAAGACCUAGAGAAGUUUCCAUCCAACUGGAAGUCCUGAAGCAAGUCAAGUACUUGGUCAUCCUGUCUAGAGGAGCAGAGCAGGAACCGAUGGACCAUGCUGGGACUUCCUGGGACUAUAAAGCAAUCAGUUGUCAAGAGGCUUUUCAUCCGUUAUUAUCUCAUGAACUCCAGAAAGUUAAAGAAGGCAAGAAUCCUGGGUUACUCUUUUCCAGCAGUGAAAAUACAAGAUGUUACUGAAAAAUGUUUUCUUUUUUUAAAUGUAAAUUGGUAACUCCACUGAUGAUGAUACACACUAUAAUUAAUAUUGUUCUGUUGGAAUAUCCACACGUUACAGGAGGCUUUAAGGACUUUGGAAGAGACAAGGAAAGUCUUGGUAGCCUUCUACGGAUCAUUUAAUGUUGUGUAUAAGAACAGGUUAAGAUAUAAAAUAUUACAGUUGAACUAAGUCGAUGCCAAGUGAUGGUGAAAAUAUCAAACUUGACAGCUACUAGAGCACAAAUGGGAUGAGUUUCAUCCAUAGCUUGUCUCCACACAGCUAAAUUCUUCUCUCUAUAUGAAAAUAUAAAAGGUUGCUAAAGUAUGAAAUAAGGGUACUAGUAAAAUGAAAUCCAGGAGAAUAGCAGAAUAGAAGUAAAUAAAAGUAAACAUGCAUAACUUUCAAAGUGGAGAAAAAAAGAAUCUUAGGAGCCUUUCUGUCAAGGCUCUGAGGUAGUUAUUGAAGAGAUUACAUUGAUAUAGUUGGCAUUUUUGACAUGCUGGUAUGGAUUGUCUUGGGCUGUAGCAAGAACAGAAGGGAUAAAGCUGGCAGGUAGUGUGGGAGUGACACCUCAAAGAAACCCAUCGCUCCAUUCUGAGUUUUUAAUUUAGUGAUCAAGGGUAUUAACUUCACACAGAUCAGUGAUCUGAUUGAACUUAAGAGAGGAUUUUAGUAAUGAUAUGUUUUAGGCCAUGGAAUGGAGCUGGAAAACAAGAGGAGACUUUGCUUAAAGCACAGCUAAAAUUAAGCUACAGGUUAUUCAGUAUAAGAGACAAAGGCUGAGGGUUACAGUUAUGAAUACAAAAAUAAUAGUCUAUAACUUGUAGAGGCACUGCUAGAAAUAUACAACCACUUUUCUAUUUCAGAUAAAAAUUAAGUUUGGAGGGGGGUGCGUGUUCUAAGGACUUUAAAUAGUGAAAACAAAUGCUGCCUAGUAGGUUAUACCACUUCUUUCAAGUAGGCAAUUUGUCCAGAUCAGAGAGAAAUUACAAAAACAAUAGAUGAGGAAUUAAAUUAGAUGAAAAAAAUAUUAUUAUUAAUUAAAAAACAUUUUUCAAUGUUUUAGUUGAAGGACUGAAACUUCAACUAUCAAAGGUGACAAUAAUUUUGCUAAAAACAUAUCACACCUAAGUUCAAUGGUGAGGAAUGCAAAAAAAAGAUAACAAAUAGCAACAAAGGAACAAAAUAGAAAACAGUCAUAGCCUCCAAGUUAUAUUGAUUUUUGAAUUGCAGAAAAUGGGCUAGGUAAUUUAAAACACCACAGGUAACUUAAAACAAAUUUUAAAUAUAUUUGAGACAUACCAUCAUAUGUUACGCUUACAUAACAUAGAAAACAAAAUUCUUAAUGUUUGCUUAAGUGUUUAGUACCUAUGUCUAUUCUGUAAUUAAACAAGAUCUUAUUCUUUAUGAUAUAAGGAUGAUGAAAGACAUUAAAUUCAUCUAGUAAGAUUAAUAUUAUCAUAGAAUCAUUUAGGUUGGAAAAGACCUUUAACACCAAGUCCAACUGUAAACCCAGCACUGCCAAGCCCACCACUAAACCAUGUCCCUAAGAAUGACAUCUACAUGUCUUUUAAAUACCUCCAGAAACAGUGAAUCCACCACAUCCCUGGGCAGCCUGGUCCAGCGCUUCACAACCCUUUCAGUGAAGACAUUUUUCUUAAUACCCAAUCUAAAUCUCCCCUGGUGCAACCUGAGGCCGUUUCCUCUUGUCCUGUUGCUUGUUAUCUGGGAGAAGAGCCCAACCCCCCCUGGCUCCAGACCCCUUUCAGGGGGUUGUAGGGAGCAAGAAGGUCUCCCCUCAGCCCCCCCCCCUCUCCAGGCUGACCCCCCCAACUCCCCCAGCCGCUCCCCACAGCACUUGUGCCCCAGCCCCUUCCCCAGCCCCCUGCCCGGCUCUGGACACGCUCCAGCCCCUCAGGGUCUCUCUGGGAGCGAGGGGCCCAGAGCCCAACGUGUCAUUUGAGGGGUGGCCUCACCAGAGCUGAGGGCAGGGGGAUGGUCACUGCCAUGGUCCCACUGGCCACACCAUUGCUGACACAAGCCAGGAUGCUGUUGGCCUCCUUGGCCACCUGGGCAUACUGCUGGCUCAUGCCCAGCUGGCUGUUGACCAGCACCACCAGGUCCUUUCCCACCAGGCAGUUCCUAGCCACUCUGCCCCCAACCCGCAGCACUGUGUGGGGUUGGUGUGACCCAAGGGCAGGACCCGGCACUGAGCCUUGUUGAAUGUCAUACAAUUGGCCUCGUCCCAUCGGUCCAGCCUUUUCUAUUCUAAAGAAGAUUUAAAACUAAUUCAGGACAUGAAUGGUAAGAUAGAAUUAAAUAAAUGGGCGCAUUUGGCUGAUGGCUGUAUAGUAGUACUUGUAGAAGAAUGGCGGCAGAAGUGUGGCCACGGAACCCCUGAGGGUCUGCACAAUCCAGGCCUGGAGUGCACAAUCCAGGCCUGAAAUUAGAAGUGUACUGGAAUUAGAAUUGUGCUGAAGUUAUUGUGCUGAAGUUAACAAGAAAGUGGCCUUGAUCUGUUCUUGAAUCCUAAGACCAAGUAACCUUAUUGUACUAACAGGCCGUGGCUGUAACAAGCUGCAGCUUUUAGGGAGGACAUGUGUAAGGCCAAGGGAGAUAGAGAACGGAAUGUAGAUAGAGGGAGUAACAAACCGCAAGGCUAAAACAUAGCUAACGCAAAUAGCUGCAUGGAAAAAAUGCUUGUUCCAAUCAUGAUAUUUAGUGGUGUGUGAGCAGCACGUGCUUACGGGCUAAUAACCAAUUAUAUGUUUGCUUUGGGAGCAUGCUUAUGUAUUGAGGCUAUAUAAGAAGUGUUAGAAGCCAAUAAAGAUGAGCAAGAUGCAUAACUCAUAUUGAGUAAUUUCCCGACUCCGGCGGACCCCUCUCCCAACAACUGGCGCCCGAACGAUGGGAACACGGAAAACUCUGCCUUUGCAUUGCAAAUUGGGAGAUGCUAGAGAGGAGUCCGAGCAGGAAGGCGCCCGUAGAAGGGAAGGCGUCUGAAUCCGGCAUUGAGCUCCUGCACGGACCUGCACCGGUAAGACCGUUUUUCCCUCGAUAAUGGAAACGGAGGCGGCACUCACGCUUUCAUCUGAGAUUCUUGCUAAGCGAGAGGCUAGCGUGAGCACAAAGAAGCUCCAAGAGCUAUGCAGGUGGGCGAAGGAAAAAGGACACCUAAAAGACCCACAAUUGAUGUUUAGUGUGACUGAGUGGCGAGAGAUUGGGGAUUCCCUUUGGGAUGCGACCCUUAGCAGCAGCAAGUCAGCCAAGGACUUGGGACCAACCUGGUGGGAGGUCAUGAACCAUUUACAGUCAAUGGUUGCGGAGAAAAAGAUGGCUAUAGCUGCUUCAGAGCCCCUUGAUCGGGAAACCGAGUCGAUGGAGUCUACCCGAUUAUUUGGUCAAGGCGUUUCGUCUGUGAAAGGCAUAGUUGUGCCUAUUAAAAAAUCUGUGACAGAGCUAUUACACCCGACACUGGAGGGUGCUGCCGCAACGGCAUUUCUAUAAGACAUACAGGAUACCAUAAUUUUGUUAGAUGGUUUAUUCCGUGGUUAGGAGUUAGUGAAUUAGAGAAAAGAGUGGUAAACAUGUCUGCAGAAACCGAACAAAUGUUUAAUCUAACAACAGACGCGAUAAACAGGUUGAACCAGGAAGUGAAAUCUUUAAGUAAGGUAGUAAUCCAGAUAGAAUGGCCCUUGACUUAAUAACCUUAAAAGAAGGUGGAGUAUGCACAAUGAUAAAUCAGAGUUGUUGUGUAUACGUAGACCAAAGUAAUCAAAAUGAAACAGACAUCCAUAAGAUAUGGAACAGGUUUCAGAUUUUACAUGAAAUUACUAAAGAUGAUGGAAUUUUAAGGCUAUAUGGGACAAAUUAACUUCGUGGUUACCUAAUCUGGAAUGGUUAAAGCAUGCUUUUGUUAUAAUACUCAUUCUAAUAAUUUUAGGAAUGCUAAUAUGGGUAUUACUUCAGUGUUUUGUUUGGUGCUGUCAAAGAGUGAUACUAGGGCAUAGUGAUUUUUUUAUAGUUGUAAAAGCAUUUACAAUAGUUAUUAGAAAAGAGGGGAAUGGAUAAUGGGCCAUAUAUGAUUUAUUUAAAGAACGUGUGCUCAUGUUUAUCUGAGGAGAUCCUUAUUGAUAACUUGAGGAUGUACUAAGUGACAUUGGGAGUGUGCUAAUAUCCAGGCAUGAGAUAUGUUAAUAUUGUUAACUUGAAGAUGCACUAAAUCCUUGAAUGAGAAUGUGCUAAUUGUCCAGGUGCAAGAUAUGUUAAUGAGUUCCCAUGUUAAUGAGUUCCCGGAAAGU